rnacentral:rRNA from 1 species
GACCUGGCCGGGCGGUCCUCCUCACGGUGCGUACUGUCUGGCUGGGCCUUACCUCUUGGUGAGCCGGCAUGCCCUUUACUGGGUGUGUCGGGGAACCAGGACUUUUACCUUGAGAAAAUUAGAGUGUUUAAAGCAAGCGUACGCUUGAAUACAUUAGCAUGGAAUAAUGGAAUAGGGCUG